rnacentral:rRNA from 1 species
GAUGAACGCUAGCGGCAGGCUUAAUACAUGCAAGUCGAGGGGCAGCGCGGGUAGCAAUACCUGGCGGCGACCGGCAAACGGGUGCGGAACACGUACGCAACCUUCCCAAAACUGGGGAAUAGCCCUCCGAAAGGAGGAUUAAUACCCCGUAACAUAACGAAGUGGCAUCACUUUGUUAUUAUAGUUCCGACGGUUUUGGAUGGGCGUGCGCCUGAUUAGGUAGUUGGCGGGGUAACGGCCCACCAAGCCUACGAUCAGUAACUGGUGUGAGAGCACGACCAGUCACACGGGCACUGAGACACGGGCCCGACUCCUACGGGAGGCAGCAGUAAGGAAUAUUGGUCAAUGGACGCAAGUCUGAACCAGCCAUGCCGCGUGAAGGAUGAAGGUCCUCUGGAUUGUAAACUUCUUUUAUAUGGGACGAAAAAGGGCAUUCUUGCUCACUUGACGGUACCAUAGGAAUAAGCACCGGCUAACUCCGUGCCAGCAGCCGCGGUAAGGUCGUCAUGU